rnacentral:lncRNA from 1 species
CCCUCCCCUCCUGUCUCCCCCUCCCUCUCCCCUUCCCUACCCCUCUGUCUCUCCCCCCUCCCUCUCCCCCUCUCUCCCCCUCCCUCCCUCCCUCCCUCCCUCUCUCAGUGCCCUUUCUCCUCCCUCCCUCCUUCCCCUUCCCUCUCUCCCUCCCCCUCCCGGCCUCCCUCUAACCAGUCCACCUGCAGCAGAGCCGCCCCGCCCCGCGCCCCCCCUGCGGGUCAGCAGGCUUCUCUCCGCGGGGCCUCGCCCCGCACCGUCUCCCCCAACGCAUCCUCUGCUCGGUCCUGCUCGGCCGCGACCCUGGCCCCGGGCCUGCGCCCUCCAUCCACAGGCGGCCCGCGGGGCUGGGGCGGGCGGCAGGCAGGGCGGCGGGUCGGGCCCCACGUGUCCGCGGCCGCUGUGCGGGGCCCUGAGCCCACGGCGACCUCCAGUCCCCGGGCGCGGGUCCUGGGCCUCUGGGCCUCGGGGCCUCCCGCGGGGCGGCUGCGGCUGCGGCGGGUCACCUGGCGCGGCGCCCACACCUGCCGGGGCGGAUGCGCGGGGAGCCACCAGGCGGCAGUGUGGCCAUGUCAGCUGCCCUUCAGACUGAAUAAACACUGCGCACCCUCUAGAGAUUCAAUACAGUACCAAGUUCACAAGAAGUAGGUUUUGCAAAGGUCUUUUCAGAAAACAUUCCAAAUAGUGCUCACGAACUGAGGGCUUUGUCCCACCAGGCCCAGAGCCGCGCCCUGAGAAGGAGCAGACGUGACAGCAGGAAUGGGGGCUUCGGCGUCUCUGGAACAGGGCGCACUGACCGCCAGGUGCGCGGCCUUGAGCAAAGGCAUUUACCACUGGAAGCGUAAGGAGUAGGUGCGUAAGACAGAGACGGUAAGAGUGCACACCUGGGAAUCGCUGUGCCUCAAGUGGGUGGGGGGGCGUCAUUGUGAUGUUGGCCCCAGUGACCUAGGGAGUCGCCCACAGUGAUCGUUACCGACGCCUGUGCCCCAGGAGCAGCCUUGGCCUCAUUCGCAGGACAUGCAGGGUUUGCACAGGCCCCGCGCGACCCUCUGGCCGCCUCUCCGCGGGACGGUGGGCCUCCCUGGCCGCUCACCCUAACCCUACCCAAAACCUCUCUGGGGGCCGCUGGCUUGGGAACCCUUCUCCACCAUCUCCUCAUUUGCCACAAACACAAGUUCCCCUCGUGGGACCAACACAACCCGGUGCGGAUUCUGGCUCACAUGGGGGGACGUUGGUUUGGUCACUGCCCGGGCGCUGGUGCAGCUCCAGGCCCGCUCUCCGCCUCCCUGGGCGGCCUGCCCACCUGCUGCUCCCUCGCUGCCCAAGCCUCAGGACACCCUGUGGCCCCUGCGUGAGGCCGCCCCCCCCGCAACCGCCCCCCCCCCCCCACCGCCUAGCAGCCUGUUCUUGUUGUGCACCUGGGCCGCCUGCACUC